rnacentral:rRNA from 1 species
CCUACGGGAGGCAGCAGUAGGGAAUUUUCGUCAAUGGGCGCAAGCCUGAACGAGCAAUGCCGCGUGAACGAGGAAGGUCUUCGGGUCGUAAAGUUCUGUUGAAGGGGAAACAGAGCGGAGAGAGGAAAUGCUUUCUGAUUGAUAUUACCCUUCGAGGAAGUCACGGCUAACUCCGAGCCAGCAGCCGCGGUAAUACGUAGGUGGCGAGCGUUGUCCGGAUUGAUUGGGCGUAAAGGGUGCGUAGGCGGCCUGCUAAGUGUGGAGUGAAAGGUACCGGCUCAACCGGUACAGGUUCUGGAAACUGGCGGGCUAGAGAGCAGGAGAGGGCGGUGGAACUCGAGGUGUAGCGGUAAAAUGCGUAGAUAUAUGGAAGAACACCAGUGGCGAAGGCAGCAGCCUGGCCUGUUACUGACGCUGAGGCACGAAAGCGUGGGGAGCGAAUAGGAUUAGAUACCCGUGUAGUC